rnacentral:lncRNA from 1 species
GGAGAAUUGGCUCACACAAUCACAAGGCAAAGUCCCACAAUAGGCCAUCUGCAAGCUGGGGGAAGAAAGAAGCCGGUAGUGGCUCAGUCCGAGUCAAAAGCCUCAGAAGCAGAGAAGCCAAAAGUGCAGCCUUCAGUCUGUGGCCGAAGGCCCAGGAGCCCCUGUAAAACCACUGGUGUAAGUACAAGAGUCCAAAGGCUGAAGAACCUGGAGUCUGAUGUCCAAGGGCAGGAGGAACGAAGGAAGCAUCCAGCACGGGAGAAAAAUGAAAGCCGAACACAGCAAGCCAGCUUACCCCACCUUCUUCUAGCUGCUUUGUUCUACUCGCUCUGGCAGCCAUUGGAUGGUGCCCACCCACACAGAGGAUGGGUGUUCUUCGCCCAGUCCACUGAGUCAAAUGUCAAUCUCCUCUGGCAACACCGUCACAGACACAGCCAGAAACAACACUUUACCAGCUAUCUAGGCAUCCUUCAAUCCAAUCCGGCUGACACCUAAUAUUAAUCAUCAGGUAACCUGACCUCUCCACUGAAGGGCGUGUGGCUUUCUGAUGACAGUAGGUAAGUGUUGCUCCUCUCCCUGUUUCUCUACUAGCUCAUCUCAUUUAGUAGAAGAUUGUAAGUACUGGCUGUGAUGCACCUGAGGUAAAGUUGAUAUAGACGAAAAUCAAGGUAGAACUUUAUUCACGUGAAUAAUUCAAGGUGAAAAACGAGCCAAAAUAUAAACUAUGUUUAAGGAUUUCUUAGAGUAUUCACAUCAUUGCCGCUGGAGAAUCACUCAAGUAGAUGCAUACAUAAUAAUAGGUUUGCCAAUCCAUGUAAUUUAGAGUGAAACCCAUAACCAUCAUGACAAUGAACAAUUAAUUUUGGAUUUUGUAAUCAUUACUGGUUUAAUUGUAUAUUAUAUUUAGACCAAACUUUAAAAAUAAAUUUUUAAUAUGGAUACAUCAAAUUGUGAAUGUCAAACAUUAAUUCUCAAUCACACACCUAGAUUUCAUGAAAGCAGUUUUAAUUUUUAAUAAAAGUAAGGAUGAAAUCAUUUCCAUAAAAUGCAAAUCUGACCUUAAUUAUAAACAAUUGGAAGACUUAAAACAAUUGAACCAAACAUUGCAAAAAAGAUGUACCACACUGACAUGAGACGCCUAAUUAAUGAGUUAUUUUAACACACUCUAAUGCAAAUCAGAAAUAAUAAAAUGGCAAUUGUGUUAAAAAUAGUUGAAAUAUCUAUUAUGUAUUCAGUGCUAAUAUGUGCCAGGUUGUGUGUUUAGUUUUCUACAUACAUUAUACUUUAUAAAUUAUUUUUCCCAAUGUAGAUUAGUAAACUAGGUUAGUAGACACUAAGUAAUUUAGUACAGGUCACAUAUUACAACUUGCAAAGCUAGAAUUAAUUGUAGUCUCACUGACUACAGAGCUCAUUGACUAGAUUAUUA